rnacentral:rRNA from 1 species
GACGAACGCUGGCGGCGUGCUUAACACAUGCAAGUCGAACGGGAGUAUCAAAGAAGCUUGCUUUUAAGAUACUUUAGUGGCGGACGGGUGAGUAACGCGUGAGGAGCUGUCCUAUGCAGGGGGACAACAGUUGGAAACGGCUGCUAAUACCCCAUAAGCCGAGAGGUAAAAGGAUUUAUCCGGCAAAGGAGGCACUCGCGUCCUAUCAGCUAGUAGGUUGGGUAACGGCCGACCUAGGCGAAGACGGGUAGCCGGCCUGAGAGGGCGAACGGCAGCACUGGAACUGAGAUACGGUCCAGGCUCCUACGGGAGGCAGCAGUGGGGAAUAUUGGGCAAUGGGGGGAACCCUGACCCAGCGACGCCGCGUGGGUGAAGAAAUCCUUCGGGAUGUAAAGCCCUGUUGUAUGGGAAGAGUAGAAGACGGUACCAUACGAGGAAGCCCCGGCAAACUACGUGCCAGCCGCCGCCGUAA